UACAGAGGGUGCAAGCGUUGUUCGGAAUUAUUGGGCGUAAAGAGCUCGUAGGCGGUCUGUCGCGAUCUGCUGUGAAAACCUAGGGCUUAACUCUGGGCGUGCAGUGGGUACGGGCAGGCUAGAGUGCGGUAGGGGAGACUGGAAUUCCUGGGUGUAAGCGGUGAAAUGCGCAGAUAAUCAGGAGGAACACCGGUGGCGAAGGCGGGUCGCUGGGCCGGUAACUGACGCUGAGGAGCGAAAGCAGUGGGGAGCGAACAGG
rnacentral:rRNA from 1 species